rnacentral:rRNA from 1 species
AUUGAACGCUGGCGGCAGGCCUAACACAUGCAAUUCGAACGCGUGGCGGACGGGUGAGUAAUGUCUGGGAAACUGCCCGAUGGAGGGGGAUAACUACUGGAAAAGGUAGCUAAUACCGCAUACCAUCGGAUGUGCCCAGAUGGGAUUAGCUAGUAGGUGGGGUAACGGCUCACGUAGGCGACGAUCCCUAGCUGGUCUGAGAUGAUGACCAGUCACACUGGACGUGAGACACGGUCCAUACUCCUACGUGAGGCAGCAGUAGGGAAUAUUGCACAAUUGGCGCAAGCCGGAUGCAGCCAUGCCGCGUGUAUGAAGAAGGCCUUCGGGUUGUAAAGUACUUUCAGCGAGGAGGCGUUACUCGCAGAAGAAGCAUCGGCUAACUCCGUGCCAGCAGCCGCGGUAAUAC